GGAACAAGAACAUCUGCUUAGGUAGAAAUGAGUAGGUGACAAGGUGUAGCAUGCCUUCCUAACUCUGUCACAGACUUCAGCAUAUUUAAACCAGUAAGUACAUCAUCCCCUUCACUUUGUAUGGUCACAGUCCAGUAAGUAUGCACAUCACUAUAGCUACAUACAGUGAAUCUUUAUAUUGGAGUAAUUUCACGGAUACUAAUAGGAUAAAGGAGGAGAGCUGUAGUAGUAAAAUUAAUCUGGUAACAGGUGUGUCGAGAUUGCAUGUACUUUUUUUUUUUUUUUUUUUAAAGGUAGAAGUAUACAACCUGAUUAGACAAAACAUUAGUCUCUCUGGCUACUUCUAAACUAUGUAGCACAGGCCUAACAGAAGGUAUAGGUGGUCCGUAAAUCACUUAAAUCCAUCUAAAAUAUAUCCCUGCCCUCUCUGCCUCCCACUUUGAAAAUGUAGCGGGGGAAAGAAUGGGAUUGUGUGCACCCCAGAGCUAAAGUGACAAGAACAAAAGAUACAUCUAAGCUACACAUAGUGCACAGAAAAGGGUAAUGAUUUUGGAUCGCACAGUUUAGGUAUAGCUUUUACAGCAUGAUCUGCUCUCUGGGAAAAAAACAAAACAAAAAACAAAACGGCCCAAAAACGAACACCACAGUGUGUGGGGUAAUAUUUCUGCAUCUUACAAAGGGGAUUGGAAAUACAGCUUUUACAUGUAUUACAAAUGUCUGUCUUUACUACUGAAGCACCUUUGUUUGGCUUCAGUUCCACUGUCAUACAUAAUAUGAAGACAGUUAUGCAAAACAGGAUCAAAACAUUUAAGGCACAGGAAGUGCCAUAACUAAAUUUGCUUGAGCUCUGAAAGUAUAUGUAAAAAGAUUUUACAGAAUAAAACCGCAACAAUAUUAAGCACAUUUUCUCAGCAAUUGUACCGUUCUUUCCAGACACAUAUAGUACAAUAUUAUUCUGUGUCAAAAGCCUCUUCAGAAAAUAAGGGCAGAAUAGCUUUUCAUAGACUGCAUUUUCUUAAAACACAAAACAAAACCAACCCAGCCGUAGCCAAAAUGUGCUUUGUUUUGACGUUAGGCAUGAUUAAACAGUUGAGGAUUUCCACACAUUUUCUGGAGGAAAAGGCAAAAGGAAGAAAAUACAAUAGCAACAAAAUCUCAUCUCUUCCUCCUGAAAAAAACCACCACGCAAUUAGCUGAGUUAGGCAUAAAAAAUCGAACUAAUAAUUUAAACUACAAUAAAAUCAUAAGCAACUUAGAAGUCUGCAUUUAAAUACAGUAGCAGUUAUUUAAAUAGCUUAGAUUUCAGUUUCCCAGUUUUCACAGCAGUAUCUACAGCAGCCAAAGAAUUGUUUCAAUGCAUGUGCUAGAGCUUCUGAAAGUCAUCUAAAAAAUAUAAUCAAGUUUAUUUAUUUAUGAGGUUUCCAGUACACCGCAUAGCACAAAAGCAUUUCCUAGAAUCUACUUCGAUCACAGUAUCCUUUCAGAAUUCCACUACACCUAGUCAGACAUUUGUCUCCUCUACUUGCCCUUACACUUUUGAUUUCCCACUGUAAAGCUGCAAAGACAAAACCACAUCCAAAUAUUUGUUUUGGUAUUACAUAAGAAACUCUUAAAUAACAAUUUGACCAUUACAAGGUGAUUUAAGUCAAGAGAGGUUAUUUUAAAAGAAAUGCUCUGAGUUCAGCAAAAAGAAAAAAAAAAAAAAAAUCCCUUUUCAAUUAUGAAAACCACAUAGUCUUCUCCAGGCAAACCUUCCAAAUAUUUUGGAAUAUCUCCCCUCUAUUCUUCCUCAGAUAAGGGAUACUGAGAUUUAUUUUUCUGUAGGUUCUGCUCUUUAUACCUGUAAAAUUUUGGCUUUGUCUUCACUGCAGGGCACACCACGGUAAAACUGAUCCCCCUGAUGCACAUCAGCCAAAGAAAACAUUGACUGUUGUUGGAGGAGAUUGCUACUCCUUUCUUCUUUAAUGCCACUUCUGAUUCCCCCUGCCCUAGAGAAAAUCGGUUAUAUGUUUGGAGAUGGAGAGGCUGUCUCUUCGAAAAGGAUCACUGAUUUCUGGGGAUAACAACUGCAUUCUUCAGAAGAUUUUGUCAAACCAAUUCACCACCCUUUUAGGUCAACCUGAACUUCAGUUGCAUGUUUUUUGGAAAGAGAGUGCUGUAUUGGCAUGAAGGAAUCAUUGCAACAUAUUUUACCACUAAGAAUUUAGAAAAGAAGCUCUGCAGAUACACUGUAUGAAUUCAGAACUCACUUAACAGAAUUGUAAGGAAUAAGACUAUGGGAAUUUUAGGGAAUAAGACAAACUUUACUCCAUAUUGUCUGAUUUUCUGUGAAACAGCCAGAUAACGUUUAGUUGGAAAACUGCUGCUUAAUUUUGGCAACGCCAAGAGCCUCGGGUGGGUCGUUGCUGGAGACAUGGCAUAGAAGAUUUGGAUUUUGGGGAAGAUUUUGUAUUGCUACAGAAGAAACUCCUCUGCGUACAAAACCACUGAGGACUUACAGAAAGCGAAAGCUGAACGUGAACAGGGGAGGAGGGAGAAGGGAACCAGCUGUGCCUGGCUGAAACUGCAGCAGGCGUUGACCAGUUGACCAGGGAGCUGCCCCCCAGCUGCAGCCCGGCCAGCUCCGCGGGGACGUGAGCGCAGGCAGCCACGCUGCUUCCCACCGACGGCCAGGCGCACCCCAUCUGCCAGGCAUCACCCCGCAGCCACAGCCCCCAGCACUUCUCCACCGAAAUCCACACCUGCUGCACGGCACGCGCUGGUAACCGAUACGGAGAAUGAUGUAAACGAAAGAAAAUAAACUACAGAAUUAUACAGGGACUGGCAGGCAGAUACCUGCAGAUCCGUAAAACUGUCCUGGUUUCAUGGGUGAACAGAUUGAAAUCUGAGCUGAGCAUUCUUCUCUGGGUUUGUUUGUUUCCCCAAUAUAUUUUCUUUCAGGCAAGCACAGAGAUGAACAGUAACUACUGUGACAAAGGUAACCCAGAACAAAAUCCCUAGGAACUUGCCUAAUGGGUCAUGCACCCCGUAGCCUAUUUGCUGUUUUAAACAACUGUAAGGACAGGAGGCGGUCUCCCUUGCAGAACACAGACGUCAGACAUCUAUCCCACUCCUUCAUGAAUGUUUUUUCUGCCGAACAGAAACCUGACCCAGUACUUGGUUGUUUUUCACUUUAAACAAUUCAGUCACUGACAAUGGUAGAAGUGAUACACUUAUGUACUUCACGAGGGAAGAAAGUAAGUUAACUGGGGAAGAGUAACCUGCUUUUUCUCUUUCAGCACCUGAGACGUUUCACGUUCGGAUCCAUUGUUAAAGCACCUGUGUAAACAUCAAAAAUAACACCCUGUACAAUACAUUCUGUUUAUGUUUCUUGACCUCUUCCAGAAGCCAUAGCCUUUACAGCAAAAGCCAUUUGAGGGAGUUUGCAGCUGAUGAAGAUAGCUGGAAACUGUUUUCUGCCCAAUGCCAGGAAGCAAAUCUCACUACUGUUAGUUCGCAUAGCAGACUCUUCAGCUGUCUUCUCAUGGGGAACAGACCAAACAGAAGAGAGGAAUAAAUAAAUCACCCCA